UACGUAGGGUGCGAGCGUUAAUCGGAAUUACUGGGCGUAAAGCGUGCGCAGGCGGCUCACUAAGACAGAUGUGAAAUCCCCGGGCUUAACCUGGGAACUGCGUUUGUGACUGGUGGGCUUGAGUGCGGCAGAGGGGGGUGGAAUUCCACGUGUAGCAGUGAAAUGCGUAGAGAUGUGGAGGAACACCGAUGGCGAAGGCAGCCCCCUGGGUCGACACUGACGCUCAUGCACGAAAGCGUGGGGAGCAAACAGG
rnacentral:rRNA from 1 species